CCUACGGGUGGCAGCAGUGAGGAAUAUUGGUCAAUGGGCGCGAGCCUGAACCAGCCACGUAGCGUGAAGGAUGACUGCCCUACGGGUUGUAAACUUCUUUUAUAAAGGAAUAAAGUGAGGCACGUGAGCCUUUUUGUCUGGACUUUAUGAAUAAGGAUCGGCUAACUCCGUGCCAGCAGCCGCGGUAAUACGGAGGAUCCGAGCGUUAUCCGGAUUUAGUGGGUUUAAAGGGAGCGUAGAUGGGUUGUUAAGUCAGUUGUGAAAGUUUGCGGCUCAACCGUAAAAUUGCAAUUGAUACUGGCAGUCUAGAGUACAGGUGAGGUAGGCGGAAUGCGUGGUGUAGCGGUGAAAUGCUUAGAGAUCACGAAGAACUCUGAGUGCGAAGGCAGCUUACUAAAAUGCCACUGACAUUGAUGCGCGAAAGUGUGGGUAGCAAACAGGAUUAGAUACCCCUGUAGUC
rnacentral:rRNA from 1 species